rnacentral:rRNA from 1 species
UACGUAGGGACCGAGCGUUGUCCGGAAUCAUUGGGCGUAAGAGCGUGUAGGCGGCUAUUUAAGUCCUGCGUGAAAUCCUGCGGCUCAACCGCAGACGGUCGUGGGAAACUGGAUGGCUAGAGUGCGGGAGAGGAGAGUGGAAUUCCCGGUGUAGCGGUGAAAUGCGCAGAUAUCGGGAAGAACACCCGUGGCGAAGGCGGCUCUCUGGAACGCAACUGACGCUGAGACGCGAAAGCGUGGGGAGCAAACAGGG